CUUUGUUACUGUACCUUCAAACAUCAGCCGACUUUCUAACCUGCAAUGGCUGGGGUUUAAAAAUUGUAGAAGACUGCGAGUACUGCCGGAGCUUUCACCAAGCAUAGAUCAUAUAGAUGCAAAAAAAUUGCUCAUCAUUGAAAAUUGACUUGUAUAAAAUACUAAGUCACAACUUCUAGCUAGCAAGUUGCCGGGCACAAACUGCGGGGUACUCCUUUUGCGGCAUUACAUUUCAUUAUUUCUGGGUAUAAAAUACCCGAUUGGAUAAGGUACCAAAGCUGGGCAGUGAAGUAAAAGUAGAGCUACCUCCAAAUUGUUUUAAUUCCAACUUCCUUGGUUUUGCUUUGUCUGUUGUCACUGUUCCCAAGUCACCUGCCUAUCAUCUUUGUUUUCUGACGAGGGGGAACCCAAUGCAACUGCUUGCUCUGAGGAUCACUCUGUAGCCACAGACAUCAUCCUUGAUAAGGAGGAACCGCGAGACAAAUGCACCCUAAUCUUCCCGUAUCAUCUCUUGAUGUCUUCAGAUCAUUUAGAGAAAUCCAUGAGGAGAAACCCAGUGGCUCGGAAUCAGAUAAUGCUGAUUACUAUACUUCUGAUGAGGGAGGAC